GACGAACGCUGGCGGCGUGCUUAACACAUGCAAGUCGAACGAAGUGGCGAACGGGUGAGUAACGCGUAAUCAACCUGCCAUUCAGAGGGGGACAACAGUUGGAAACGACUGCUAAUACCGCAUAUGGCAGGCGGGGAUUGCGUCUGAUUAGCUCGUUGGAGGGGUAACGGCCAACCAAGGCGAUUAUCGGGAGCCGGUCUGGGAGGAUGAACGGCCAAAUUGGGACUGAGACACGGCCCAGACUCCUACGGGAGGCAGCAGUGGGGAAUCUUCCGAAAUGGACGAAAGUCUGACGGAGCAACGCCGCGUGAGUGAUGACGGCCUUCGGGUUGUAAAGCUCUGUUAAUCGGGACGCGGUACCGGAAUAGAAAGCCACGGCUAACUACGUGCCAGCAGCCGCGGUAAUUC
rnacentral:rRNA from 1 species